rnacentral:misc_RNA from 1 species
UCUUUAGGCUGGUGGAACCUUCAGCCGGAACCAUCAUAAUUGAUGGUGUUGACAUUUGCAAGCUAGGACUUCACGAUCUUAGAUCACGCUUUGGUAUCAUCCCUCAAGAACCAAUUCUAUUUCAAGGGACGGUUAGAAGCAACAUCGAUCCGCUAGAACAGUAUUCAGACGAUGAAAUAUGGAGAAGUCUUGAACGGUGCCAAUUAAAAGAUGUGGUAGCAGCAAAGCCGGAGAAACUUGAUUCCCCAGUGGUAGAAAGUGGUGACAACUGGAGUGUUGGACAAAGGCAGCUCCUUUGCUUAGGGAGAGUCAUGCUCAAGAAUAGUAAAAUUCUCUUCAUGGAUGAAGCAACAGCUUCUGUUGAUUCUCAAACUGAUGCUGUCAUCCAGGGGAUUAUCCGCGAGGACUUUGCAAACUGCACUAUUAUCACUAUUGCUCACCGAAUACCAACCGUGAUAGACUGUGAUCGUGUUCUCGUUGUAGAUGAUGGAUGGGCAAAGGAAUAUGAGAGACCAAGUACAUUGCUCGAAAGGCCAUCGCUGUUUGCAUCGUUGGUUCAAGAGUACUCCAACAGAUCAACAGGUGUAUGAAUAAAAAAUUUUACCUACGAGUCCAAUUAACAAUAAGUGACAUGAUAUUUCCUUUGUCAACAUUCCUUUUUAAAUCCGAAUUUUGUAGUCGAAUAGCUUUUAGAUGAGUGAUCAUGCAACAUGAUAUUUUUCUCUAAGUAUGUGUUAUUUGUUACUGUAAAGGGGGAUCUGAG